rnacentral:ncRNA from 1 species
UUUAGAUAGAGGUGCAUCAAAGAUCAGUAUAUUAUGGAGAUGGCAAUCUUAGAAGUAAUAGAAAGGCAAUGAUGCCGAAACACUAGUAAGCAAAGCUAGUAGUUGGGUAUAUAGAAAAUAUCUAUAUAACUGCCAUUUAAAUAAUGGGUGAGCUAUC